GCCGAGCAUAGCGCACGAAUGGAAUCGAACGAGGCGCCUGUAGCGUAUCAAAAGAUUAGCGAAAAUAACUCGUUACGAGCUUAUUAUCUUCUUACGCCUAUGCGAUAUAUAUUUCUGGCGCGAUAAGCAUAAUUCCAUGGUCUACGACGAGAUGAAUUAGGAAUUGCUGCGUCAUUUCGAUCCGCAUCGUCGAGUGAAAUUGUGAAAAUAAUGCUCCCUCUAUUAGUUACAACGUAAUUACACGAUGUUUCCAUGUAUCUUUUACGAUAGCUACGCGAUGAUGUUUAAUUAGCUCAAUGAUUGUUUAGGAUAUCUUGCUUUCCUCUCUUUAAAGAAAUGCUGUUGUGUUUGGAUUGUUCUUUGUGGAAAUGCUCGGUCAACGCAAGAUUGGCUCUUAAUAACGACGUUUUAACAAGCAGCAUGUAAACUAAUGCUUAUGACAUCGUCAUAAAGCUUAUCGACAUUCCUAUGGCAUUCGAGGAGCACGCGUUUCUCUUAUCAUGGAUUAAGAACACAAUUUCUGAUAUAGCUAAAAUGAUAAUAAUCUUAGCUAAGAUUUCUAAGGAUUCGCGGCCAUCGAUUGUAGCAUGGUACUACUAUCUGCUGAGAUUUAUAUUUAAGUUAAAAUAAAAUAAAGUUAUAUUACGUGUAUUACACGUGUACGAACGAUUUGAAAACGAGCAAUAAAUCAUAUUAAAGACAGCUACUGAUAGCGUGAGAACGAGACUUUUAUAAUCGUAAACGAUAACGUCUUUUAAUUUUUUUUUCUUAUCUGAAUCGCAAUUUUAUUCUUCAUUCAGGUUAUGACUCGUGGUGCGACACUAGCGCCACACGUGUCGAUUACUAGUUCGCGAUAUGCAUAUUUAUCUAUAUAAAUAAUUGCUAUUGUAUCCCUUCAAUUACUUAUCGCUUUUCCCUUAUUUAUUAUCUAUUUUUCAAAUAUACUUGCGAUUAUUGAAUCCACUUAUAAAUAUAAUGAAAAUCAUAUUUUACAAAUUUGUAGUUUACGCGAAAGUUUCGUCUCAACGUUGAGAUAUAAUAUUGCAGCGGUAAUCAAAUAUAUAUGUUUUGUUUGCUUAGAUAAAUAGGGGAUUGUAGUGAUAUCUUGAUCCUGUUCGUACUUCGUAAUUCAGGAAUUAGUUUUAUCUUGAGGAAUAUCGAUCGAUUUAAAAGUAAUCGCGUUUAUAUUUCGUCGUUACCUAACGACGUAUCGUGAAACAGCAAAAAUCCUGAUUAUUUUCACAGAAUCGUAAGACUGCAGACUUUUUACUCCAACUGAACGAUUUCUUUUGUAACGAAAAAUAAUAUGAAAGAUAAUAAACGACAAUAAGGAAGAUAAUUAAAAAAAUGUAAAGGUAGAUGUGUAAUAUACUGCUAUAAUAUUCAGUCUGCCAUAUUCUACAGGCAUUUCCUUAUCUCUUUUACAAUUUGCAACUUGUUUUAGAAUUGGUAUCAAGUAUGCUUUAUAGCCAUUUAUUACAACAGAUUGCUGCAUUCAUUGUGAUUAUAUUUAUGUUGAUCGUGAUUAUGUAUAUCUACUAUACAUUUGUAAACUCCCUACUGUCACGUUCCACUUUGUUUAAACGAAACUUAAAUCAAGCAAUUCAUCAUGAAGAAUCAUCGGCCAGAAGUGAGAUAAAAAAAGCAAUCUGAAACCUGUGAGAAAGUAAAUUUUCAUUAUCCAUUUUGACCAUUUACAUCUAUCAUAAUCGGUAUUUGUACGUGACGCCAUGUUGAUACGACCUUCAUGGUGUCUAGUUACCGUCAUAAUGCGUCAUCGUUGAGGGAAGAGCCUUGAAUGCAUCGAGUUUCGUGAAAAAUUCAUGGACCUUGAUUUAAAGAAUCGCAGGAGAAAAAUGAAGAAAAAUCUGAUUCAAAAGCAGAUUCAACAUUUCGAUUCGAACUGGUCGAUUCUCGAAGUUGUACUUUCAAGAAAAUUAUUUUUCAGUUUAAUUGAAUUUUUUAGCUUCCGAGCCGAUAAUAUUGAGAAACUUUAAAAACUGAUCGAUUUGAGGGAAAUUUUUUAAUCUUGAUAUUCGCCGAUAGCGAUAUUUCUAUAUUUGAGAAUUUGCCAAUUUAUAGCAAAUCUAUGGACUUGACUGAUUUUUCACGUUUUUAAAUUAAAUCAUUAAAUCUUUUUUCAAUUUUGAACAAAGAUUCCAGAGAGAGGAUUUUAAGGAUUUUAAAAAUUGACCAGUUUGAAAUUGCCAAUUAUCAAUUUUCUAAAAUACAUCUUUCUAUUCUUCUAAGGAAGUGAUUCACGCGUAUUAGAGCAGCGGUUAUCGUCGCUUAUCUUCACUUUAUCAGUUCGUUAAUCCAACUUUCCACAAAAUUCGGCUGCGUACGAUUUCCUUUGAUGCCGCGCGCGUGCUCCGCGCUUUUCAUUUUCCCGCGAUUUCUUCGAACUAUUACGAACGGAUUAUUCGGCUUAGGGAAAACGACAGGUAAAUUCAUCUUCCGAUUUCCUUUCCCCGUUUCUCCGCCGAUGAUAAUUUUUAAUGGCAUUGAUCAAGUCUCAUCUGCAUCUUACAGUAUAUUUUUACCCCAAUCAACGCGAGCACGCGAAGAAGGAAAUGAUCGCGUAAUUGCUCGACCAAGGACGCACCUGAAGAAGUUCCAGUCACUUUUUCUCGCUCAUUGUGAAACGAUAUUUCGCUUUAAGACUCGUGCACGUUUAAAUAAUUUCCAGUCUAAAAUAAUGCAUCUAGGUUCUCAGACGUACAAACGAAAUUUUUUCGUUUGAUAACGUUGCAUAAAUCGUAUUUCAGGUCUGCGAAUAUUAAAAAAAAUCGCAGGUACAAUGUUCAGGUAGAAAUAAAGUUACAUUCGUUGUUUGUAGAAUAGCUAUAUAUCACAGAUCACACGUAUAUGUAAAUUUUUCACGAAUUUCAUCUUUUAGUUGAUCAAUUGUUCAACACAGUGGAAAGGGCAUUAUUCUAUUUGUAUUCUGUUAACAACGCUCCACAGUUUUCCUCAUAAUCAUAGAAAACCUAACACUAACCUAACCUAUUUGUAUAGUUCGCUUAACAAUGCAUAUUCUAAUAGCCUGCAGAUGAAGCAUGUUUUUAUGCAAUUUUAUACGACUCAAAGUAUUGAUCAAACAUCGAUAACCAAUUAAACGACACGCCAAAUGACAAUUGUCUUUAUACGAUUUAAAAUUCUAGAAAAGUACGUGCCAUUUGGAUUGCCAUUUUGCUGGCUAGCCACUCGUGGCCUCAACUUGGACUUCUCAAAAAUAUCGUUGGAGUCCUUUUAAUCCUUCGAUGUCAGCAGAAUCCUUUUGAUCCUCUUAAUCCAUCGAAUCUGUCCCAAGUUUGCCUCGGACAAAGAGAACAGAAACUAAUGAAACUAUUGGGUUGGCAACUAAGCGAUUGCGGGUUUUGUCAUUACAACCUAAUGACAAUGUCCGCAACCACUUAGUUGCCAACCCAAUAAUAAGCCAAUUGGCCAGUUGCGUCUCAUUUAAAAAAUGCUUUGCCACGAAAGACAGCAAUCGUCACCUGUCAUUUUUACUCCGCGGAUUCAACGUCCGAACCAUGGUCGAUUGUAUCAAAGACGAGUAAAACAGAUGUUAAGCGAUCAUUUCGUAACGACGAUCGACGAUACGAAGGCGAGGAUCACGUUCCGAGAAGCUCAUUUGCUACGGAUGAUCGUACAACGUUUUGAUUAUUGUCGCGAGAUUUUCCUGUUUGGUGCGAAACGUAGGGCAAACAGCAGCACGCGUGUUAUUAGGAAAUGCUGCAACAGUUAGCUCGUUCGAUAGUUUCCAGGAAUGUUAAUUCUCUUCAAACGGGGAAACACCGCUCGAUCUUUCUGUUGGCUUUGAAAAUUAAGCGUUCGUCGAGUCAUAUCUGAGCCAGUAGCACGUUGCAACGUUAAAAAAUAUUUCACGUUGGUUUCGUUGCCGAAGCCAGAAUAAUGUUGAAGUAUUACAAUUUUUAGAGGAAUUAACAUUUUAUCAUUUACUGAUUAAUAACAAGCUAUUGACGGAAUAAAAAAGUUAUCGAGACACAAAAAUAGCUUUAAUUUUGAAAGUUCGAGAUCAGGUGGGACAUAGGUUAGUUAGGUUGGCAACUAAGUGAUUGCGGAUGUUGUCAUUAGGUGGUAUUGACAAAAUCCGCAAUCACUUAGUUGCCAACUUUUCUCGUUGUUUUUGUGUCUUGCGUUUCCUGUCUACACCGAUGCGAGUCCCGUAUGUCGUGACACACCUUGUAUAUAGCACAGAAAAGAUUCACUGAGAUGAUUCUAGCAACGGUAUUCCAGGCUAAUUAGCCUUUUGACGGAUUGGCUAUCUUAUUUGAUCGACGAGAGCUUAAUAAUAAUCCUGAUCGAUCACCGAUAAGGUGUUAAACGAACAUGAAUGAACUUAUGUUUCGUAUGAUACGUACGAGUUGAUGCCAGAAGAAGAUAACAAGUAAUUGUUCUGGUCUUAACCUGCGAUUAAUUGGGCUAAAUUAUCUAAGAAGCUAGCAAGCUUCAAUCAUCUGAAAUUCAGUAGAUUUAGUUGGAAGAUUUUCAUUUAGAAGGAAAAAGUAGCUUUAUUUCUUAUUUCCUGUAUUUUCUAUCUUCUUCUUCUUUUACGAUAUUUUUCAAUGGCUUAUUUCAUAAUAUAACUGCUAAUGCCUGUUUUCUACCAUAAUUGACGAUGUUCUCUGUAAAAUAAUUACAAUUGCCUGAUACAAAUCUACAACUUGCCAUUAUAAUAUAACUUAAUGACUAUACAUUGAUUUUUGUACAAUUGAUAAUUGUACAACGUAAGAGUCGUUCUGCGGGUUGAUAUUUUUUUGUAAAAUAAAAAUCACACGAUCACGACAUCAGCACUGUGUUUAAUUAAUUUUUCCUCGCCAUAGAGGGUUGACCAAGUAUCCAAUUGAAUGGCACAGAUAUAGCAGAAACAAGGCAAGUUAAAUACCUAGGACUCCACUUGGACACACAAUUUACAUGGAAACAACAUACUAAAUCAAUUAUAGACAAAAUACGGAUAAAAAGCAGACAGAUGUACUGGCUAAUUAGUUGAAACUCUAAAUUCAGCAUAGAAAAUAAACUAAAAAUCUACAGAACGAUAAUAAAACCAAUUAGGACGUCGGGAAUACCACCAAGUGGGACAGCAGCAAUCAGCCACAUAAAUAAACUAGAGGCGCUACAAUCGAAGAUACACAAAGGAGGAUAUACACAAAGGCUUAAAAAUACCAACGGUCAAGGAAGAAAUUGCUAGGUACGCAGAAAAAUACAAGGAAAGAACGUCUACACAUCCAAACCAGCUGGCUACUGAAGCGAGCAAAAUUCCCAUAGAAAGAAGACUAAAAAGAAAACACUUCACUAACCUAACUAAAGAAAUAAAAUAGUCAAACUGGAAGAUGGUAUCCCGUAGCCAUCUAUAUGUCAUUUAGUACUAAAAUUAGAAAAAUGUACUAAAUCUCCAGCUGGAUAUAUUGUAAAAUACAAAUUAAAUAAUAAUAAUAAAAAAAAGAAUAGAGGGUUGUAACUACGAAUAGGUUUCUCUGGACCAACUUGGCUCAAUUCACGUAUCGUAAUGAUAUUCGUGUGUUGUUAUUAUAAAUCGGCCAAAAUAUCCGCAUAAGCACUCGUUGGUUUACGCGAUAUCGUAAUCCGAUACAACAGCGCACUCGAAUGGAACGCUUUGUUAUUAUUAAUGUUGGAAGCUUGUUUCAUGUUCGAUGACUAUUUAUCGAGUGUUGCUCAUCUUGAUUACACGUAACCGUACGAAAGAAUGUAUAACAGCCAGAAGCAUAAACUAAAGCGAUACGAGAAGAAUUACACGAUGCUCGAUGCGUGAUAGAAUACGCUCAAAGUGAAAGUAACUGUUUGUUAUGCGAUGCAAAGAAUGUCUCGAAUGUUACACGUAUCACAUGGCUAACAAGACAUUAAAGUGCAGCAUUCACGUGACCAAAGUUAUGGAAUACUAUCGCGUUACGUAACAACCUGCAAUAAUAUUGCCGGUGCUAUGAGAAAAAGAGCUGCGAGAAUUGCCUUUUGUUCUGACAAUGAGAAUUUUCGUCUGAUUAUCCGUGAUUUUUUUUAAGAGAAAGAAAGAGGACCAAGUAAUUAUUCCUAUAAAAAAAAAGCAGCAGUGUUUUCCAUAGAAAACAGUAGUUUUUCCAUAAAAAAAAAAAAAAACCAGAAGUAUACUAUCAACAUAGAAUCAUGGAAUAAAACAAGUUGCUAGCUUUUUGCUUUCACAACGACAGCGAAGAAUAAGAUAAAAAAUACUUUACGAUCUGAGUGAUAAAAAACAUGCUAAAAUGAUACGAAUUGCUUGUUCAAACUCGCAUUUCUUAACGAGAAGAAUAUUGUUAACAUAUAACAAUAAUGUAUCGAUAUCAACAAUAAUGAAAAGCCCAGCAUUAAAAUCAAACGAAUAUCAGGGAAUGAAAGAAGCGAUUCUUAAAUGAAAAUCCCCAUAGAAAUUGUCCAAUUUGGAACUUUAGAGCAAGGACCUGUAUGCAGCGAAUUGGAGGAAUAUUUGUCAAACAAUAUCAUCAGGAAAUUCAGCUUUUUUCUUUAAAAAUUGAAUACAAAGCGCCUGUAUUAUUCGUCCUUCGAGUGCCAAGACAUUUUUCUGAUAAAGUUAUCAGCCAAUGUACGAUAUAUUGGAUCAUGGAAAUAAGAGCGGUCGAUAAUUUGUUUGAAUUUUACUUACGUAUUUACAAGACACCAUGUAAAUAACCGUUAAACAGAAUUAUCUAAGCGAGGAAGGCAAUUAUUUCUGGAGAUUAACGAGUUCGUUAGAUAUAUUUAUUCUCCUCAUUGCGAUUCACACAGACGUUCAACGUUAGUAGAAAAUUUGAAGAA